rnacentral:rRNA from 1 species
GACGAACGCUGGCGGCGUGCCUAAUACAUGCAAGUCGAGCGAAGUUUUUCUGGUGCUUGCACUAGAAAAACUUAGCGGCGAACGGGUGAGUAACACGUAAAGAACCUGCCUCAUAGACGGGGACAACUAUUGGAAACGAUAGCUAAUACCGGAUAACAGCAUAAAUCGCAUGAUAUAUGUUUAAAAGUUGGUUUCGGCUAACACUAUGAGAUGGCUUUGCGGUGCAUUAGCUAGUUGGUGGGGUAAAGGCCUACCAAGGCGGCGAUGCAUAGCCGACCUGAGAGGGUGAUCGGCCACACUGGGACUGAGACACGGCCCAGACUCCUACGGGAGGCAGCAGUAGGGAAUCUUCCGCAAUGGGCGAAAGCCUGACGGAGCAACGCCGCGUGAGUGAAGAAGGAUUUCGGUUCGUAAAGCUCUGUUGUUAGGGAAGAAUGAUUGUAUAGUAACUAUAUACAGUAG